rnacentral:rRNA from 1 species
AGCAGCCGCGGUAAUUCCAGCUCCAAUAGCGUAUAUUAAAGUUGCUGCAGUUAAAAAGCUCGUAGUUGAAUUUCGGGAUCAAUAUGUUGGUCGUGCCUUGGUACGUACUAGCUCAUUGGUUUCUCCCUUCUGACGAACCAAGAUGUCAUUUAUUUGGUGUCGUGGGAAAUCAGGAUUGUUACUUUGAAAAAAUUAGAGUAGUUUAAAGCAGGCUCACGCUUGAAUACAUUAGCAUGGAAUAAUGAAAUAGGACGUUUGAUUCUAUUUUGUUGGUUUCUAGGAUCGACGUAAUGAUUAAUAGGGAUAGUUGGGGGCAUUAGUAUUCAAUU